GACAAGAGAAAUGACACAAUACAGAAUAAAUUAAAACAAAAUAAAAUAAAAAGAAUCAAACUAAUGCCAAAGGUUUAGCCACUUGUUUUCUCCAUCUUCUGAUUCAACACUUCUGUACAAUCUCAUAAAAGACAAUGCCUCCCACAUGGACUAAGGUGUUGAAUACCACUAGAUGCAACCUUUUCUAUUUUUUUGUUCUUACCACAUGCUCUUGUUGAGCUCAAAAAGAUGCUGAUCAUCAUUUUUUUAUUCACCCCAUGGCCACCACCAACAGUCCUUUUGAAAACCAACUAUACGAUCUUUUUGGUCGUUUUUUUGUCCUUAUGAGAGGCAUUGGUCCCUUCUACAAGUUUAUUGUUGUGUUGUGUGAGGCCAGCUCACGAGACGAUUUUGGACAUAUCCCUGCUAGAUCUGUUAUAUUUCAUGUGACUCUUAACUAGUUGUCCAGCUGCAAUUGCAGACAUGAGUGAUAGCUCGCCGGCAAGUACCGAACCAGCUACGAUGGUGGCCAAUAGCCUAGCAUUUGCACCUGGAGAUUCUGUGUUGGCGCCCUUAACACCAAGUAAAUUAAGACAAGCUGACUGAGAUGCAAGUUGUGUUCCCCCUCCCACAGUACCAACCUAAAUUAUUAAACAAAAUCUAGCUAAGGAUAUAAUAAAAUGGAAGAGAAUUUAAAAAUAAAAGACCCUUAUAAAUACGCAUUAACAAUUUUUUUUAAAAAGAAAAUCAUGCUCGGUGGUUGGUUGUAGUAGUAAACUAAAAAUCAAGUUUCCUACUACAUGUAUGUUUGGCUAAAAAUGGAAAAAGUUUAACAUUUGCACCAAAGUGUAAAUUUCAGAUUAUGUUUAUUUAAUUCCAAAGGGACCACUAAUUUAUGUACCUCAAUGGAAGGCAUGGUGACAGAAAUGUGAAGGUCCUUGCCAUCAUUCACAGCUUCCAUCAUGGUAAUACAAUGAGAACUCUCCACAUUCUGAGCAGGAUCUUGACCAGUGGCUAUGUAGACAGCAGAGACAAUGUUGCUAGCAUGAGCAUUGAACCCACCAAGAGCACCAGCAAGGGCUGAUCCAGUUAGGUUCUUAAGCAUGUUAAGCUCAACCAGUGCCUCC
rnacentral:lncRNA from 1 species